rnacentral:rRNA from 1 species
GACGAACGCUGGCGGCGUGCUUAACACAUGCAAGUCGAACGGUGAAGGGGUCUGCUUUUGUGGGCCCUGGAUGAGUGGCGAACGGGUGAGUAACACGUGAGUAACCUGCCCCCUUCUUCUGGAUAACCGCAUGAAAGUGUGGCUAAUACGGGAUAUUCUGGGUCUGUCGCAUGAUGGGUCUGGGAAAGAUUGCGCCUUUGGGUGUUUUUGGUGGGGGAUGGGCUCGCGGCCUAUCAGCUUGUUGGUGGGGUGAUGGCCUACCAAGGCGGUGACGGGUAGCCGGCCUGAGAGGGUGGACGGUCACACUGGGACUGAGACACGGCCCAGACUACUACGGGAGGCAGCAGUGGGGAAUAUUGCACAAUGGGCGCAAGCCUGAUGCAGCGACGCCGCGUGAGGGAUGGAGGCCUUCGGGUUGUAAACCUCUUUCGCCAGUGAAGCAGGCCUGCUCCUUGUGGGUGGGUUGACGGUAGCUGGAGAAGAAGCGCCGGCUAACUACGUG